rnacentral:rRNA from 1 species
CGUGACGGCGCGAGCAGGUGCGAAAGCAGGUCAUAGUGAUCCGGUGGUUCUGAAUGGAAGGGCCAUCGCUCAACGGAUAAAAGGUACUCCGGGGAUAACAGGCUGAUACCGCCCAAGAGUUCAUAUCGACGGCGGUGUUUGGCACCUCGAUGUCGGCUCAUCACAUCCUGGGGCUGAAGUAGGUCCCAAGGGUAUGGCUGUUCGCCAUUUAAAGUGGUACGCGAGCUGGGUUUAGAACGUCGUGAGACAGUUCGGUCC